AGCGAACGCUGGCGGCAGGCCUAACACAUGCAAGUCGAACGAGCCUUUCGGGAUUAGCGGCGGACGGGUGAGUAACGCGUGGGAACGUGCCCUUUGCUGCGGAACAGCUCAGGGAAACUUGGGCUAAUACCGGAUGUGCCCUUCGGGGGAAAGAUUUAUCGCCAUUGGAGCGGCCCGCGUCGGAUUAGCUAGUUGGUGAGGUAAUGGCCCACCAAGCCGACGAUCAGUAGCUGGUCUGAGAGGAUGAUCAGCCACACUGGGACUGAGACACGGCCCAGACUCCUACGGGAGGCAGCAGUGGGGAAUCUUACGCAAUGGGCGAAAGCCUGACGCAGCCAUGCCGCGUGAAUGAUGAAGGUCUUAGGGUUGUAAAGCUCUUUCAGCGGGGACGAUAAUGACGGUACCCGCAGAAGAAGCCCCGGCUAACUUCGUG
rnacentral:rRNA from 1 species